rnacentral:rRNA from 1 species
CUGUGAUGCCCUUAGAUGUGCUGGGCCGCACGGUAUGUAAUCUUUUUUUUCUUUUCGUCUCGUUAUUAUGCCCUCCUCUUAAUUAGUAGAUAAAAGCUAACUUUUCGCAGCGCGUUACACUGACAGAGCCAGCGAGUACUUCCUUGGUAGAAAUACCUGGGUAAUCUUGUGAAACU